GGCCUCCAUCUUGAAAACGGAAAAUAAAAACAGCAGACCUAUGAAGGUCGAAGGGGAAGAAAAGCUGUAUCGAUUGUUGAGAUCUGGCGACUUGUUUAAAUUUCAUCAGCCUCACUUCUAUGAACUCUCAGAGCUGAUUACCAACUCCUACCACUGUUAACCCUCAUCCAGGAACAAGCUUAUGUCUUUAACAUUCUGAGUGGGCUUCAGCAUCCUUGCAUAUGUUCAAUUCUUAAAAACCUGUUGAAAUAAAAGAUCAGGAGACAUAGGAAGGAUGCCAGAAGAGAGCGUGGCCUCACGUGUACCAGCUCUCUGCUCUCCUUUGCCUUGGGACGUUCCAUCCCUGGAAGUUUCCCUGCCCACAUCUUUGUAGAGAGUCCAUUCUCCAAGCUUCAGUGUGUCAUCUGUGAGGACCGUGACCCACCUGGUACAUCGCCUCAGGGCAUUCAUUUCAGGCUCCUUCUAAAUGGCCAAGUUUUCAAGAUUGUUUUGGCUCUAGCAAAACAAGUUGGAACAUUCACAUCAUCCACUGCACUGAUGAGGAAACUGAAACAGAAAAUCCAGAGUAAAUUCCACCAGGCCACACAGCAAGGUCUGAUAGAGCCAGGAGAGACUUUAUGAAAUCCAGACUCUCACACUAAUGCUCUAUCAGCUAGACCUCCAUGUGAGUCUCCCCAAUGUAGGUAGGAAGUGCUUUCCC
rnacentral:lncRNA from 10 species